rnacentral:rRNA from 1 species
AGCGAACGCUGGCGGCAGGCCUAACACAUGCAAGUCGAACGAACUCUUCGGAGUUAGUGGCGGACGGGUGAGUAACACGUGGGAACGUGCCUUUUGGUUCGGAAUAACUCAGGGAAACUUGUGCUAAUACCGAAUGUGCCCUUCGGGGGAAAGAUUUAUCGCCAUUAGAGCGGCCCGCGUCUGAUUAGCUAGUUGGUGAGGUAACGGCUCACCAAGGCGACGAUCAGUAGCUGGUCUGAGAGGAUGACCAGCCACACUGGGACUGAGACACGGCCCAGACUCCUACGGGAGGCAGCAGUGGGGAAUCUUGCGCAAUGGGCGAAAGCCUGACGCAGCCAUGCCGCGUGAAUGAUGAAGGUCUGAGGAUUGUAAAAUUCUUUCACCGGGGACGAUAAUGACGGUACCCGGAGAAGAAGCCCCGGCUAACUUCGUG